AGAGUUUGAUCCUGGCUCAGAUUGAACGCUGGCGGUAUGCUUAACACAUGCAAGUCGAACGGAAACGAUGGUAGCUUGCUACCAGGCGUCGAGUGGCGGACGGGUGCGUAACGCGUAGGAAUUUACCUUAUAGUCGGGGACAACUUGGGGAAACUCAAGCUAAUACCGGAUAAUCCUUACGAGGGAAAGGGGGCCUCUUCUUGAAAGCUCUCGCUAUUAGAUGAGCCUGCGUCAGAUUAGCUAGUUGGUGAGGUAAAAGCUCACCAAGGCGACGAUCUGUAGCUGUUCUGAGAGGAAGAUCAGUCACACUGGAACUGAGACACGGUCCAGACUCCUACGGGAGGCAGCAGUGGGGAAUAUUGCACAAUGGACGAAAGUCUGAUGCAGCAACGCCGCGUGGAGGAUGACACAUUUCGGUGCGUAAACUCCUUUUAUAUGAGAAGAAAAUGACGGUAUCAUAUGAAUAAGCGCCGGCUAACUCCGUGCCAGCAGCCGCGGUAAUACGGAGGGCGCAAGCGUUACUCGGAAUCACUGGGCGUAAAGAGCGUGUAGGCGGGUAUUUAAGUUGGAAGUGAAAUCCUAUGGCUCAACCAUAGAACUGCUUCCAAAACUGAAUACCUAGAAUAUGGGAGAGGUAGAUGGAAUUUCUGGUGUAGGGGUAAAAUCCGUAGAGAUCAGAAGGAAUACCGAUUGCGAAGGCGAUCUACUGGAACAUUAUUGACGCUGAGACGCGAAAGCGUGGGGAGCAAACAGGAUUAGAUACCCUGGUAGUCCACGCCCUAAACGAUGUACAUUAGUUGUUGCGAUGCUAGACAUUGCAGUAAUGCAGUUAACACAUUAAAUGUACCGCCUGGGGAGUACGGUCGCAAGAUUAAAACUCAAAGGAAUAGACGGGGACCCGCACAAGCGGUGGAGCAUGUGGUUUAAUUCGACGAUACGCGAAGAACCUUACCUGGCCUUGACAUAGAAAGAAUUUAGCAGAGAUGUAAAAGUGCUAGUUUACUAGAGCUUUCAUACAGGUGCUGCACGGCUGUCGUCAGCUCGUGUCGUGAGAUGUUAGGUUAAGUCCUGCAACGAGCGCAACCCUCGUGUUUAGUUACUAACAGUUCGGCUGAGGACUCUAGACAUACUGCCUGGGCAACCAGGAGGAAGGUGAGGACGACGUCAAGUCAUCAUGGCCCUUACGGCCAGGGCUACACACGUGCUACAAUGGGGUAUACAAAGAGCCGCAAUACCGCGAGGUGGAGCAAAUCUCAUAAAAUAUCUCCCAGUUCGGAUUACACUCUGCAACUCGAGUGUAUGAAGUUGGAAUCGCUAGUAAUCGUAGAUCAGCAAUGCUACGGUGAAUACGUUCCCGGGUCUUGUACUCACCGCCCGUCACACCAUGGGAGUUGAAUUCAUUCGAAGCGGGGAUGCUAAAAUAGCUACCUUCCACAGUGGAUUUAGUAACUAGGGUGAAGUCGUAACAAGGUAACC
rnacentral:rRNA from 1 species